UGCCCGAUCGUCUAAUGGCAGGACUUCGGUUUUUGGUACCGACUAUGUAGGUUCGAAUCCUGCUCGGGCAA
rnacentral:tRNA from 1 species